rnacentral:rRNA from 1 species
UACGUAGGGGGCGAGCGUUGUCCGGAAUCAUUGGGCGUAAAGCGCACGUAGGCGGUUUGGUAAGUUGGAUGUGAAAACCCUGGGCUCAACCCUGGAAGUGCAUCCAAGACUGUCAAGCUAGAGUGUCGGAGGGGGUCGGAGAAUUCCCGGUGUAGAGGUGAAAUUCGUAGAUAUCGGGAGGAACAUCUGUGGCGAAGGCGCCGACCUGGACGACAACUGACGCUGAGGUGCGAAAGCAUGGGGAGCAAACAGGAUUAGAUACCCCAGUAGU